rnacentral:lncRNA from 1 species
CGGGUCAGGGCGUCAGACCGGAAAGGAGAUCGUCGUACCCACUUACAAUACGCCCAUGGAAUGAAUGCGCUCAACGAUGGCCUCUUGGUCUACCGGUCUGCCGGUGGUGUCGUCGGCAUGAUCGACCACGAGGCAAUUGUAAAAGACGCAGCCGCCGACGGCAGCGUCGAAAAAGGCGGUCUGGUAGAAUCGACAGUCGACAAAGACGCACGCGGUCAGCGUGGCGCCCGCAAAGGAGGCGCCGUCAAACCGCUGGCCGAAAAAGUGGACGGCAGCGAGCCGCGACCCGAGAAAAGAGGCUCUGCCAACGUCUGCCACGACGACACUGUGCGAUUGAAGAUAGGCCGUCGGCGCCGGAUCCCUAUCCUCGGCCUCGAACGGUUGCAGGGUUGGGUCGGCAGGUGGAUCUGCAGGCGGACCGAGUCUCCAGGGACCUCGUGGAUCCCACGCGGGAUGGCGCACUUCAAUGUGUCUAAUGACGAGGCCGUCGAAUCCGCCCAGAAUCUGUUCCUCUGUAGGACCGGGCACAGAAAGAGACCUGCCCAAGGCCAUCAUGGCCCAUGGAUCGAUCGUGGACCGUCUCUCGUCCAGGGCGCCCAUUGUUUCUGCAACGAUGACGCGCACGCGCUCACUGGCAAGUGCGCAUGAUCGAGGGUACCGAGCGGCCGUGUCGCGCACAGCCCACGCCAAGAGACGAGGCGACGCCUUGGCCAUCCACGCGCACCAAGGCAAUCGCCAGUCGCGACCGGCGCACAGUUCAGCGCCUGUCUCGGGGUCAAUGUCGCGAUGAGGGCCGGCAACACGGUGCCACGUGGUGAGGCGGUCGCGCGCAUAGAGGCGUCCACUCGACACAAAAUCACAGUCGGAUGCGGGGACGAGGGCACCCGUCAGAAAGCAUCGCACGUGCGGCACACCGACAGACUUGUCGGCGUCCUCUUUUUCCGUCCCAAUCGAAAGCACCUGUCCAAAGGGCAGACCCAAACCGAGCACCGUUGGAUCGCAAUCGUCCUCGGACGGACGCCAGUCGAGCGACGCUGCGCCCUUGGUGGCGCUGUCGGCCAAGGCACGUGUACAGUCGGCCGCAACCUCGGGAUCAAUUAGGCGAUGCGGCGAGGCCAGAUAGGUUGCCCAUAGUCGUGCCUCUUGUGAAUGCGGGUCGGCCGGCAGGACGGCAAAGUCUCUGCGCCGUGUGUCGGGCGUCGCGGUCCACGUGUGACCCCAAAUGCGACGGCCGGCAAGGCGCGGGCCGCCGGCAUCAUCUAUGGCUGUCAGGAUCAUAUAGGCCGGACCGCCGAUAACGACGUCGGCCGAUGUGGCGCUCAUGGCGCGUGCGGCAUCCUUGGCCCUCGUGAGAAUAUGGCCAUGGACAUCAGCAUAGUCCGCGCGCCAAUUGUCUGAAUCGGGACGUACAGUGCGCGUCACAGCGACGACUGACCUGUCCGAAUGUAUACCGGUAUGCGGUUUACGCUCAACGGCAUAGACCGAUGGCGCGUGAGCGCCGGGCCAGGUGCUCUGUUUAAUCGUACCAUCGGCACUGCGCCGCACGCCCGUCCCCACAUAUUUGCUCUCGACAAAUUGCCCUGCGUAAGAUCCAAAUUCCGGCUGGUUUCUGCGCGAGAUGAUGCCGCGGCCGUUGCGUCUGCCCGAUGCCCAUUCGCCGUAAAACCACUGGCUGUCGGCCCACAUGUAGGUGCCCAAGCCGUGUCUCACCAGACCGUUAAAUGAUCCCAUAUAUCGGUCACCAUCUCCAUAGUCGGCCUCGCCUUGGCCCUGGAUGCCGUUGGGACCGAAUCGGUCCGCGCGGUAGCGGUGGCCCUUGUGCUCGACAACAAGCCCAGGGCCGACAAAGGUGCCUGCGCACCAGAUGCCUUCGCGCAAGCACACGUCUGGGUCGACCGCGCGUGUUCCGCUCUUUCCAGCGGCGACAUUGUUUGGCAGGGCAUAGGUCGCGGCCGCGUAGCCAUCGAGAACAAGACGGGGCACGUUGGUUUGGCCGUCAAAUGUGAUUGCCCACUCGCCGCUCUCGCACGUGACGCCGUCUGUCGACGGCACAGCGCCGAUGUAGCGACCAUGCGGCAGAUAGAUUGGACGCUUGCGCUGUCGGGCGAUUUCGAUCAUGUAAAGCCAUCGAAAGUGUCGGCCGUGCGAGGCGGCAUUGGUAUGCUCGUAAGGCGGCGUCGCGCGGCCAAAGUCGCGGCGGUAGAGAUGCGCCCACAGGCGGUCACACCGCGCCAUAACGUGGAGAGACGCACAGACGCCGUCGACGGUCGCCAGCGCCCGCACGGGCAACGACGACAGUAUUUCGGCGAUCAACUCGACGGGCAACGCCAAAAGACAGGCGGCGGGCGUCGCCGCACGAUCGGCAAUCGACUCUUGGACGUCCAUGGAAGUGUGGCUCUUUUUUUUGUGCCUGUAGGUGUUUGGCCUUUUUGUGCUCGGUGAGCGCCAACUUUUUGCGCGCAGUACCACAGGACGACCGAUUACGCCCCCUCCCCCGCAAGACCGACUCACGACAACAACCAAUGAGCGACACAAUCUUUUUAAUAUAAAAAAAAGGUAUGGGCCAG